GGUCUGGCAGCUCCCAACUGCCAAUAAAAAUCUUACCGUGCAAGUGAGACCUGGAAAGAUAAGCAGCAGUUCUGACUGAUGGACACCUCACUUCAAAACUAUAAAUCUACACCAAACUGUGACAAAGUAGAAAUCUUUCCCUGGAGAUGUGUGGAGUUUCUGCCCUGAGCAGGGAUGCCUGCUUUGUGGCUACUCCUCUGGAGGUUGAGUGAAAGGACUCCGUGUCCAUUAUUGUCAUUUCAGUGACCAGGAAAAGGCAUAAGUUGCUGGUGACCACAAAGGGACCCUGAAGACCUUGAAACUUGAAGUCUUGGGUUGAAACACAUCUUGCUUUGCCCCUCUCUCUGCUGGCGAACUACAGAGGGGCUGGAGUGAUGAUCCAGGACUGUGACCAGGACUUUAGGACCCAGCACAGAAAGGCAGAAGCACAGAAAGAAAGAGAAUUUGAAAUGAAGAAUUAAACAGUGAGGAUUAACUCCGGGUGUGGCUCUGCCUGAAGAUCACAGACUCUGUAAGACUG